rnacentral:rRNA from 1 species
GCACAAGCGGUGGAGCAUGUGGUUCAAUUCGACGCAACGCGAAGAACCUUACCUGGGCUCGAAAUGUAGUGGAAUACGGUGGAAACAUCGUCGUCUCGCAAGAGACUGCUAUAUAGGUGCUGCAUGGCUGUCGUCAGCUCGUGUCGUGAGAUGUUGGGUUAAGUCCCGCAACGAGCGCAACCCUUAUCCCUAGUUGCCAUCGGGUCAAGCCGGGCACUCUAGUGAAACCGCCUGGGAUAACCAGGAGGAAGGUGGGGAUGACGUCAAGUCCUCAUGGCCUUUAUGUCCAGGGCUACACACGUGCUACAAUGGUCGGUACAAACCGUCGCAAACCCGCGAGGGGGAGCUAAUCGGAAAAAGCCGGCCUCAGUUCGGAUUGGAGUCUGCAACCCGACUCCAUGAAGCUGGAAUCGCUAGUAAUCGCGGAUCAGAACGCCGCGGUGAAUACGUUCCCGGGC